CUUAACACACAAAGGGCACACCAUUCCUUUUUCUGUGUAUUUGUAUUUGACCCUUAGUGGAAAUUAGAAUCCUUUAGGGUUCCUUGCUGUGUUAUAAGGAUUAACAUGUAGACCCAAUUCAAGCAAUUCUGAUUCCAAAAGCUCAACUCAAUAGAUGAAGCUAUCAAUUGAGAUAUUACGAGGAAAACACGAACGAAGGUAAGGGAGAGUUUUUAUCUUCACUAAUGUCUUCUUGCAGGUACUUUGGCAUGUUUCAGCUCGUCGAAGAAACUCCCAACUGGUGCAGUUACCUUGUUCUACGGAGGGCCCUAUACUUGCACGUCAAGGACAAAGACCAUGAACAAUGGGAGAAUAUAGUCCACACCUUGCUCAUCCCAACCCCUACUGGUUGCAGUGGUUGAAUGAAAGUGGCAAAGUAAAGGUAACCUAGUAAGUCAUGGUACCAUUCUCCAUUGGUAAGU
rnacentral:lncRNA from 1 species